rnacentral:rRNA from 1 species
CCUACGGGAGGCAGCAGUGAGGAAUAUUGGUCAAUGGACGCAAGUCUGAACCAGCCAUGCCGCGUGCAGGAAGACGGCUCUAUGAGUUGUAAACUGCUUUUGUACGAGGGUAAACGCAGAUACGUGUAUCUGUCUGAAAGUAUCGUACGAAUAAGGAUCGGCUAACUCCGUGCCAGCAGCCGCGGUAAUACUGAGGAUUCAAGCGUUAUCCGGAUUUAUUGGGUUUAAAGGGUGCGUAGGCGGUCGGAUAAGUUAUCGGUGAAAUUCCGAGGCUCAACUUCGGAAUUGCAGCUGAUACUGUUCGGCUAGAGAGUAGUUGCGGUAGGCGGAAUGUAUGGUGUAGCGGUGAAAUGCUUAGAGAUCAUACAGAACACCGAUGGCGAAGGCAGCUUACCAAGCUACUUCUGACGUUGAGGCACGAAAGCGUGGGGAGCAAACAGGAUUAGAUACCCGGGUAGUC